UUAAUAAUAAUAAAGAGGCUUAAGUUAUCGGUUCGAAUCCGAUAAAGGGCUUUCGGGUGUUCCAAACACUCUUUUUGUC
rnacentral:tRNA from 1 species